UCUGUGAUGCCCAAUGCGCUUCCAUCCACAGGCCUUGGUUCCAGUUUGGUAUUUGCAUAGCUGACUUAAAAAUAUUGAGGUGAUAUUAUAAAUUAUUCGUGGUAUUUCAUAUAGUAAAGUUAAGUCGUCUCUUCAUAGGACAUUAUAUUGUUUGCAACUUGUCUGAUAGGACUCUUUAUUUAUUUUGGAUAUUUACAUUUUAAGAAAUAAUUUUAGCUAUAGGGUAUUUUGUUAUAUUUAUAAACUUUUUCAAGUAGAUAAUUUGAUGUUCACUUUAUCACAAGUUGUCGUACCUAAUUUAAUCAUGUAUUCGUGAUCAUGACACGAAAAAAUUACUAAUUAUUAUGUUAGUAGUUAAUUAAAUUGUUUAUUUUAGUUUGUCUAGUAAGGAGAAAAGGAAAGUUUUUUGUUUUCUCAGACAUGGAUACUGUACAUAAAGAAUUUGGAUUAUCAAAAUAAGAAUAAUAUGUAUAAAAAUUAAUUUGAUAGUUCAAGAGAGUAUACAUACCAAUACCAUAGCCGGACAAAAUUCGGGAAGGAGGCACCAAUAAUUUGUAUUAUAAUCUACUUAUGUAUUUUAGAUUGAUAAAAUAUUAAAAUUUAAAUAAAGAAUAAAAAAAAGAUAUAGGGAGGGGGGGGGAAUAUGCUCCCCUAAAAAUUGAAUUUCCCGAUUUUUAGUCUCAAAUAAUUGGCAGCUCUAUAUUGGAAAUAGUCAUAACUUUAUACUAUACAUUUUAUUUUUAUUCAUUAUGUUUGCUUAAAAAUCAUAAUUAAAAGUACCUACUAUUAUUUAAUUAUAAUAAAAACUUGUUGAAAAAUUAUAUCUACUUAACACAUUAAAGACAAAUAUAAAAACCUAUUAUUACAAGUAUGUCAUUUGUCAUACAUUUUUUCAUCUGUGUUACCAUAGAUACCCACACGGUACAGGGAUUAAACUAUAUAUCCAUUUUAAUUACACUAGAACUAAAAGAUUCUUAAUAGCCAAGACUAUAUUCAUAUUAGUUCUGUAUUAAAAAAAUCAAUAUUCUAUUUAUACUAUUAAUGUAAAAAAUGAUUAUAUUUUCGAUUUUUUUUUUUUCACUAUUGUUUAUUUUGUGAUUUUUGAAAUUAAAAUUAAUCAUAAAUACAUAUGUAUAUAAUAAUAUAACACAUAUAAAAUUUCAGGUUUUAUAUUUUAGUUUAUAUAUAUAUAUAACUUUGUACAUGGAGAGCCACUGUCAUUAAAAAAACCUUAGCCUUAAUGAUUUAAUCAUAUUAGUUCUAUACAUUUUAAGUACCAAUAUUAGUAUUCACAUUGUUUUUGGGGGUUAAUAAUAAUACUAAUCAUUGUUUGUGAUUACAUCACUGAGAAUCAUUAUUAAUGCUAAAUGUAUUUAUUGGAAUGGAUAGGGAGAAAAAAUCAAACUAUUUUGUAUAAACAGUGGUCAAAUUAAAUAUUUAUUAAAAUAAAUAUGUAAUAAUCAAAAAAAUAAAAAGUUAUAAGACUUGUUUAAAUAAACAUUAUAGAAAAAAAAAAACAAUUUUUAAAUUUAAUUUAUUGUAAUGAAAUUGUUUCAGGCAAUAAUAAGAAAUUCAGGAUUAACACAAGAUUGAAACAGGGAGAUGCUUUCUCUCCAACACAAUCUUUUCCACAUUGUGUUGGAGGAAGUGGUUUGAAAGACAUUAAAUAUUAGCAUAGGAUUCAAACUAUAAGAAUCUAAAACUAUCAAACUAAUAGCAUAUGCUGAUAACAUAGUAUUACUGUCCAAAUCUGAGAAUAACCUUCAGUGUACGGUAAAAGCCUUUAUGAAUGAAAGUAAACAAAUAGACGUAACUAUAAAUGAAGAAAAAACAAAAUAAAUAAUACUGUCACAAAAAAAUAAUUGAUAUAGUAGUUUGGUAGUCAGGGAUAUGGAUUUCGAAUGGGUCGAAAACUUCAAAUAUUUAGGAGUGGAAUUGAACAUGUUGAGCAAUAACUACAAGGAAAUAUAUAAAAUAUAUUAAACUCAGCUAAAAAGUGCUUCUUCAGAUUAAAGACAAUAUUAAAAUCUAUACCGGUAUCAAUUUGAUUUAAACUAACUUUAUACAAAGUAAUGAUAUGUUGAUAUGUCUAAUAGCGCUAUAUGCCUGUGAAACCUGGAUUACAACAAGAACAGACGAGUAGAACCUAGCAAGAUUCAAGAGGAAGGUAUUACGACAAAUAUUUGGGCCCAGAAGAAACCAAAACACGGAAAAAUAUGAGUGAAGAAAAAACGAAGAGGUAAGAAAUAUGUAAGAGGAUUCAGAUAUAAUAGCUACAAUGAAAAGUAAAAGGAUAAGCUGAGCAGGGCAUGGCAUGUAUAAUGAGGUUGAAAACAGACAAUUGGUUAAGUAGCCAGUUAAAAGACAAUGAGCAAAAGACCGCUCUGCCGUCCAAGACAAAGAUAGAUAAAUAGAGUCCAUAAUGACCUGACAAUGCUGGGAAUGCUAAAUGGUGAAGAAGCUUAGGACUUAAUUAGUCUAUACUAAGCUAAAUAUAAAAAAAAUAUUUUAAUUUAUUACAGAAAUAUUAAAAUCAUAUAAACCAUUUUUAAAUAGUAUUAAUACAUUAAAUGUAAAAAUAUUCUACAAAUUUACUAAAGAAUAAUGAAAUAACAACAUUUUUAAAUUUUUUUUUUUUUUUCAGAAUGUAUUUUGAAAAAACAAUCAUUUAAACAAAAAUUUACAGAACAACCUGGACAUAAUAUUUGUAAUUUG
rnacentral:lncRNA from 1 species